GCAAAACCAAGCACGAUUUCACAUAUGAAAGAAUAGAAAACAGUUCAAAAGAGAACACAAGAAAUGAGUUAGAGUUAAAAGCGGCAAACCAGAGUGGUGGUAUUUUUUAAUAUAACCACUAGAACACUUGUUUUACGAAAAGAUCACAGCGUUAUGAACUCGGAUUUGGGAUUCACACUUGAUAAAAUCUAGAUCUAGGGCUUCUCCUCAAAGAGCAUAUAGAAACCAAGAGUUUCUUUUAAGAUUGAAUUCUCAGUACCACAAUCUACUCCAGCAAAGCCUAGAUCUAUAAAUAGUAGACCUAAGGUUUCAUCUGAUUUCCAAUCGAUUCAAGUUAUCAAUUGAAAAUUAAUUUUCCAGAGAUAAACUCGAUCAAAGACUUGAACAAUGACUCCGCAAGACUUUGAUACCACUAGUAAUACAAAUCACUCAAAGAUACAACAAUUUCAGAGAAUACAUCAACAAUACUCAAAAAAUCCCCAAUCAACCGGCAUCAAAGAUCUUAUCGAUCGUAGGCUCAAAUCACUGUACACUUCUGUAUCAACACAGAGGCAUUGGACAAACCCAAAACCCUCACAACUCAAGACAUGAAACAAAGUCACAACAAUGGACCCAGAAAGAACUCAAUCCUAGAUCAAUCGUUUUACACACACAGCAGAAAUCACAAAGACUCCUAUCUUACAUGGAGAUUUCAACCUUUAAUCCCACAAAAAAGGGCAGAUGAGAAUUGAAGAGAAGACAAAAUGGGUUGAAG
rnacentral:lncRNA from 1 species